rnacentral:rRNA from 1 species
GGGGAAUUUUGGACAAUGGGGGCAACCCUGAUCCAGCCAUGCCGCGUGAGUGAAGAAGGCCUUCGGGUUGUAAAGCUCUUUCGGCCGGGAAGAAAUCGUGUGGGCUAAUACCUCACAUGGAUGACGGUACCGGAAUAAGAAGCACCGGCUAACUACGUGCCAGCAGCCGCGGUAAUACGUAGGGUGCGAGCGUUAAUCGGAAUUACUGGGCGUAAAGCGUGCGCAGGCGGUUUUGUAAGACAGGCGUGAAAUCCCCGGGCUCAACCUGGGAACUGCGUUUGUGACUGCAAGGCUAGAGUAUGGCAGAGGGGGGUGGAAUUCCACGUGUAGCAGUGAAAUGCGUAGAGAUGUGGAGGAACACCGAUGGCGAAGGCAGCCCCCUGGGCCAAUACUGACGCUCAUGCACGAAAGCGUGGGUAGCAAAC